rnacentral:rRNA from 1 species
UAACCCCGGGAAACCGGGGCUAAUACCGAAUAUGACUUCUGGUCGCAUGACCGGUGGUGGAAAGUUUUUCGGCCUGGGAUGGGCUCGCGGCCUAUCAGCUUGUUGGUGGGGUGAUGGCCUACCAAGGCGACGACGGGUAGCCGGCCUGAGAGGGCGACCGGCCACACUGGGACUGAGACACGGCCCAGACUCCUACGGGAGGCAGCAGUGGGGAAUAUUGCACAAUGGGCGGAAGCCUGAUGCAGCGACGCCGCGUGAGGGAUGACGGCCUUCGGGUUGUAAACCUCUUUCAGCAGGGACGAAGCGUAAGUGACGGUACCUGCAGAAGAAGCACCGGCCAACUACGUGCCAGCAGCCGCGGUAAGACGUAGGGUGCGAGCGUUGUCCGGAUUUAUUGGGCGUAAAGAGCUCGUAGGCGGCUUGUCGCGUCGACCGUGAAAACUUGGGGCUCAACUCCAAGCCUGCGGUCGAUACGGGCAGGCUAGAGUUCGGUAGGGGAGACUGGAAUUCCUGGUGUAGCGGUGAAAUGCGCAGAUAUCAGGAGGAACACCGGUGGCGAAGGCGGGUCUCUGGGCCGAUACUGACGCUGAGGAGCGAAAGCGUGGGGAGCGAACAGGAUUAGAUACCCUGGUAGUCCACGCUGUAAACGUUGGGCGCUAGGUGUGGGGGGCCUCUCCGGUUCCCUGUGCCGCAGCUAACGCAUUAAGCGCCCCGCCUGGGGAGUACGGCCGCAAGGCUAAAACUCAAAGGA